rnacentral:sRNA from 1 species
AGCUACUGUGGGGGCUGUUGAAUUUUUCUCCAAAGCUCAGAUGCCCAGUAUUCCUAGUCUUCGAAAGAGAGAGAGGAAAAUUGAGAGCGAGAGAGAGAGAGAAGAAGUUUUCUUAAUCAGAGAUUUCUCUUUACUUUCAACAAUUUGCAGAUGCUGAUCUUCUGGACAAUCACACUUUUCCUGUUGGGAGCAGCCAAAGGAAAAGAAGUUUGCUAUGAGGACCUUGGGUGCUUUUCUGACACUGAGCCCUGGGGCGGGACAGAAAUCAGGCCCCUGAAAAUUCUCCCCUGGAGCCCUGAGAAGAUUGUCACCCGCUUCCUGCUGUAUACCAAUGAAAACCCAAACAACUUUCAAAUUCUCCUCCUCUCUGAUCCAUGAACAAUUGAGGCAUCAAAUUUUCAAACGGACAGAAAGACCCGGUUCAUCAUCCACGGCUUCAUAGACAAAGGAGAUGAGAGCUGGGUAACAGAUAUGUGCAAGGUAGGAGUCGGCUCUGAUCCCUGU